AAAUUAUUUUUAAGGAUAAACCUUAAAAUUUCGGCUCCAUUUCUUGGUAAACUACGUCUGCCACACCAACCACCACCGCAUAGCACAACCAUAACAAAAGUGUUAAAUCAUCAAUAAAUUUUCCUUCACGUUACAUUAAAAAAAAGAUGUAUUUUACAGAUAAACUUAGAAAUAUAUUUUACAACCCUGUUCAACUUUAGAAAUGGACUUUACAAAUAAAUGUAUUUUUCCCCCAAAAGACUUUGAAUCGCAACUGGCUCAUUUUUUUCCUGAAGGAGCAUUCAUCCCUCUGUGUCAAUAUUAUCAUCAUCAGGAUUUCAUUUUCAUUACUGCUAAUAAAACAAUUUCUGUAGCAGAUUUCAUGUUAGCUCAAUAAACAACUGCUCAAACUUGCGUCUGGAAAAUUACAAAUGAAAGCCAGUUAUAUAGAACAGAAGUAUAAACAAAAGUUAGGUCCAUGAAUGUGCAUUUUAAGAAAUAGACAACACUGACCAUGAAACUCGUCAAAAUAUUGAUUCUACACUACCAGUUGUACAUUAUAAAGUGCCAUUUCAUUCUGUUCUGUUACACAAUCAUGAGCCACAUGACCAUUAUCUCACUUCGGUAGCACUAAAAGUUGAAUUCAGUUGAGGUUAAUAUAAGAACUUAGGAUGAAGUUAAUGUAAAUUGGUCUUCCCACUUGGUACGAAAAAAUUUAUAUGAGUCGGUCUAAAAGUUGGACAUCGCACCCUAUGCAGUCCCUUAAAAGGAGGCAACUUCUAGUAGACUAAAAGGAGCCACAUGACCAUUAUAUAGGUUGUUCCUACAAUUGAUUGUUCACAUCAGAUACUUUCCUAGUUCAUCUCCUACAUAUUUCUAAAUUUCAAAUUACAUUCUCCAAUACUUUCCUGUUGAUUGAAACAGGGUGACUCAGGCAAAGUAGCGUCCAUGUUGCCCAUAGUUAAACGGAGAAAUGGUUGCCCAUAGUUGAACACACUUGUUGGUGCUGCAUAUAUGUAUUACUUGGAGGUAACAUAUUAUUAAUGCCCAUAUUCUAAUUUUCAAAUUCAGAAGGCUAAAACUUGGUUUGGGAAAAUCUAAAAUUGUUUGUAUUCUCAUCCCUUCCUCCCGUUAACUUAGCCAUAGAUUUGUACCAAGCCCAGAUAAACAAAUUCAGUGAGAGAUGCUCAGAAAAUUAAGAAAAUCAAAAUCAAAAACAUAAACACAGGAAUGCAUAAUUUCUGGAAUCAUAUAAAACCCCAAACAGUGAUAUACAAAACCUCUCUACACCAUAUAAAAUCAAAUAAAAUCAUACACAAAUCCAAUGAUCAAAUCCCCAAACAGACAACAAAAUAUAGGAAUAAGGAACCCAUGAUCAAAACCAAAUAGACAACAACAAACCUGCAAUAGCCUCACAACAAACUUUGCGUUUGAGGCUCGAACCUUCAUUUUGAGCCUCACAAAACCAGAAGGAACGAUCGUGAGAGAUAGAGAUAGGUUGCGUGAUAUAUAUAGAGAUAGGUGGCGAAAUAGGGGUUGCGUGAUACAGAGAGAGAGGUUGAUGGUGCAGAGAGGGGCAAACAUCCAAUCUCUCGAGCUUCACAGCUCUCAGCCUUGUGAGAGAGAGAGAGUAAACAUAGAGAGAUAGGGAGUGUGUGGG
rnacentral:lncRNA from 1 species